UGGGGAAUAUUGCACAAUGGGCGCAAGCCUGAUGCAGCCAUGCCGCGUGUAUGAAGAAGGCCUUCGGGUUGUAAAGUACUUUCAGUCGGGAGGAAGGUGGUAAGGUUAAUAACCUUAUCAAUUGACGUUACCGACAGAAGAAGCACCGGCUAACUCCGUGCCAGCAGCCGCGGUAAUACGGAGGGUGCAAGCGUUAAUCGGAAUUACUGGGCGUAAAGCGCACGCAGGCGGUUUGUUAAGUCAGAUGUGAAAUCCCCGGGCUCAACCUGGGAGCUGCAUCUGAUACUGGCAAGCUUGAGUCUCGUAGAGGGGGGUAGAAUUCCAGGUGUAGCGGUGAAAUGCGUAGAGAUCUGGAGGAAUACCGGUGGCGAAGGCGGCCCCCUGGACGAAGACUGACGCUCAGGUGCGAAAGCGUGGGGAGCAAACAGG
rnacentral:rRNA from 1 species